rnacentral:rRNA from 1 species
GAUGAACGCUGGCGGCGUGCCUAAUACAUGCAAGUCGAGCGAAGCGGGGACGGGGGAGUAACACGUGGAUAACCUACUAUAAUACUGGGAGGACUUCGGGAAAACGGCGCUAAACCGGAACCUUAUAGAGGGAUCCGCUGUGCAUUAGCUAGUUGGUAAGGCAACGGCUUACAAAGGCAACGAUGCAUAGCCGACCUGAGAGGGUGAUCGGCCACACUGGAACUGAGACACGGUCCAGACUCCUACGGGAGGCAGCAGUAGGGAAUCUUCCGCAAUGGGCGAAAGCCUGACGGAGCAACGCCGCGUGAGUGAUGAAGGUCUUCGGAUCGUAAAACUCUGUUAUUAGGGAAGCGGUACCUAAUCAGAAAGCCACGGCUAACUACGUGCCAGCCGCCGCGGUAAUUC